rnacentral:rRNA from 1 species
GACGAACGCUGGCGGCGUGCUUAACACAUGCAAGUCGAGCGGUAAGGCCCUUUCGGGGGUACACGAGCGGCGAACGGGUGAGUAACACGUGGGUGACCUGCCCUCAGCUCUGGGAUAAGCCUGGGAAACUGGGUCUAAUACUGGAUAUGACUCCACGGUGCAUGUCGUGGGGUGGAAAGCCUUGUGCGGCUGAGGAUGGGCCCGCGGCCUACCAGCUUGUUGGUGGGGUGAGGCCUACCAAGGCGACGACGGGUAGCCGGCCUGAGAGGGCGACCGGCCACACUGGGACUGAGACACGGCCCAGACUCCUACGGGAGGCAGCAGUGGGGAAUCUUGCGCAAUGGGCGAAAGCCUGACGCAGCGACGCCGCGUGAGGGAUGACGGCCU